UACGUAGGGUGCAAGCGUUAAUCGGAAUUACUGGGCGUAAAGCGUGCGCAGGCGGUUUUGUAAGUCUGACGUGAAAUCCCCCGAGCUUAACUUGGGAAUUGCGUUGGAGACUGCAAGGCUGGAGUCUGGCAGAGGGGGGUAGAAUUCCACGUGUAGCAGUGAAAUGCGUAGAGAUGUGGAGGAACACCGAUGGCGAAGGCAGCCCCCUGGGUCAAGACUGACGCUCAUGCACGAAAGCGUGGGGAGC
rnacentral:rRNA from 1 species